UUGCCGAUGAUGAUAUCAGUCACCAAGUACCAUCUUUCGGGACUGAAUGGCUUAUUUGCCUUGCUGUUAUCAUUCUGCAAUUCUGAGGCUU